UUAUAAGUAAAAUUUCACUUUUUAGGUUCAUUCAAUAAAUGAUGUAUGUGGUCUAUUUAAUGAACCACAUACAUCAUUUAUUGAAUGAAUCUAAAAAGUAGAUUUUUGCUUAUAA
rfam:Medicago truncatula strain A17 chromosome 1, whole genome shotgun sequence.